rnacentral:rRNA from 1 species
GUCGUAACAAGGUUUCCGUAGGUGAACCUGCGGAAGGAUCAUUAUCGAAGCUGAACACAAGUUGUUGCUGGCUCCCUAGGGGCAUGUGCACACUUGUAAGUCUUCAACUCUUCCCCUUUGUGCACUUUUGGCUAGUACUAUAUACUUGAAGCGAGAAAUGUUUCUCUAACCGGAAACGUUUUGUUGAUCUUUUAGUGUGUGCUAUGCACCUUUUUACAAACGUAUGUUUUUGAAUGUCAUUGCAAGGUCUUUGUACCUGUAAAUCUAUAUACAACUUUCAGCAACGGAUCUCUUGGCUCUCGCAUCGAUGAAGAACGCAGCGAAAUGCGAUAAUUAAUGUGAAUUGCAGAAUUCAGUGAAUCAUCGAAUCUUUGAACGCACCUUGCACCCUUUGGUAUUCCGAAGGGUAUGCCUGUUUGAGUGUCAUUAAAUUCUCAACCAUACAAGUUUUUUCUUGUAAGGCUUGGAUGUGGAGGCUUUGCAGGUUCCUUAGUGAAUCUGCUCCUCUUAAAUGCAUUAGUGGGAACCGUUUGUAGGGGUUCAUUUAUGUAUUCACUUGAUGUGAUAGUUGUAUCAUCAUCGAUAUGUGAAUUACGGGAACUCUGAGGCUCUUGCUUCUAACAGUCUUGAACAAAGACAAUUUAAAUCUCAAUUUGACCUCAAAUCAGGUAGGACUACCCGCUGAACUUAAGCAUAUCAAUAAGCGGAGGAAAAGAAACUAACAAGGAUUCCCCUAGUAACUGCGAGUGAAGAGGGAAGAGCUCAAAUUUAAAAUCUGGCAGGUCUUGCGCUUGUCCGAGUUGUAAAUUAGAGAA